AGUGAACGCUGGCGGUAGGCCUAACACAUGCAAGUCGAACGGCAGCACAGGAGAGCUUGCUCUCUGGGUGGCGAGUGGCGGACGGGUGAGGAAUACAUCGGAAUCUACUCUGUCGUGGGGGAUAACGUAGGGAAACUUACGCUAAUACCGCAUACGACCUACGGGUGAAAGCAGGGGACCUUCGGGCCUUGCGCGAUUGAAUGAGCCGAUGUCGGAUUAGCUAGUUGGCGGGGUAAAGGCCCACCAAGGCGACGAUCAGUAGCUGGUCUGGGAGGAUGAUCAGCCACACUGGAACUGAGACACGGUCCAGACUCCUACGGGAGGCAGCAGUGGGGAAUAUUGGACAAUGGGCGCAAGCCUGAUCCAGCCAUACCGCGUGGGUGAAGAAGGCCUUCGGGUUGUAAAGCCCUUUUGUUGGGAAAGAAAUCCAGCUGGCUAAUACCCGGUUGGGAUGACGGUACCCAAAGAAUAAGCACCGGCUAACUUCGUGCCAGCCGCCGCAGUAA
rnacentral:rRNA from 1 species